rnacentral:rRNA from 1 species
GUGGGGAAUCUUGCGCAAUGGGCGAAAGCCUGACGCAGCCAUGCCGCGUGAAUGAUGAAGGUCUUAGGAUUGUAAAAUUCUUUCACCGGGGACGAUAAUGACGGUACCCGGAGAAGAAGCCCCGGCUAACUUCGUCCCAGCAGCCGCGGUAAUACGAAGGGGGCUAGCGUUGCUCGGAAUUACUGGGCGUAAAGGGCGCGUAGGCGGACAGUUUAGUCAGAGGUGAAAGCCCAGGGCUCAACCUUGGAAUUGCCUUUGAUACUGGCUGUCUUGAGUACGGGAGAGGUGAGUGGAACUCCGAGUGUAGAGGUGAAAUUCGUAGAUAUUCGGAAGAACACCAGUGGCGAAGGCGACUCACUGGCCCGUUACUGACGCUGAGGCGCGAAAGCGUGGGGAGCAAACAGGAUUAGAAACCCUUGUAGUCC